CCUAACACAUGCAAGUCGAACGGUAACAGGAAACAGCUUGCUGUUUCGCUGACGAGUGGCGGACGGGUGAGUAAUGUCUGGGAAACUGCCUGAUGGAGGGGGAUAACUACUGGAAACGGUAGCUAAUACCGCAUAACGUCGCAAGACCAAAGAGGGGGACCUUCGGGCCUCUUGCCAUCAGGUGUGCCCAGAUGGGAUUAGCUAGUAGGUGGGGUAACGGCUCACCUAGGCGACGAUCCCUAGCUGGUCUGAGAGGAUGACCAGCCACACUGGAACUGAGACACGGUCCAGACUCCUACGGGAGGCAGCAGUGGGGAAUAUUGCACAAUGGGCGCAAGCCUGAUGCAGCCAUGCCGCGUGUAUGAAGAAGGCCUUCGGGUUGUA
rnacentral:rRNA from 1 species